UACGUAGGGGGCAAGCGUUGUCCGGAAUCAUUGGGCGUAAAGAGCGUGUAGGCGGUCCGGUCAGUCGGUUGUGAAAGUCAAGGGCUCAACCCUUGAAUGCCGGCCGAUACUGCCGGGCUAGAGUCCGGAAGAGGUGAGUGGAAUUCCUGGUGUAGCGGUGAAAUGCGCAGAUAUCAGGAGGAACACCAAUUGCGAAGGCAGCUCGCUGGGACGUUACUGACGCUGAGACGCGAAAGCGUGGGGAGCAAACAGG
rnacentral:rRNA from 1 species